rnacentral:rRNA from 1 species
AACUAACGCUGGCGGCGUGCCUAACACAUGCAAGUCGUACGAGAAAGUCCCGUUCGCGGGAUGAGUAAAGUGGCGCACGGGUGAGUAAUGCGUGGAUAAUCUGCCCUUUAGUUGGGAAUAACGUGCCGAAAGGUGCGCUAAUACCCGAUAAUACUGCACAACUACUGUUGUGUAGUCAAAGAAGGCCUCUGUUUACAAGCUUUUGCUGAAGGAUGAGUCCGCGUACCAUUAGCUGGUUGGUGGGGUAAUGGCCUACCAAGGCUACGAUGGUUAGCUGGUCUGAGAGGAUGAUCAGCCACACUGGAACUGAGACACGGUCCAGACUCCUACGGGAGGCAGCAGUCGAGAAUAGUCUACAAUGGCCGAAAGGCUGAUAGUGCGACGCCGCGUGAACGAAGAAGCCCUUCGGGGUGUAAAGUUCUUUUAUAUGUGAGCAGUGCUUUCUAUGUGAACAGCAGUGGGGAGAGAGAUAUUAGCAUAU